GCAGUGAGGAAUAUUGGACAAUGGGCGCAAGCCUGAUCCAGCGACGCCGCGUGAGUGAUGAAGGCCUUUGGGUCGUAAAGCUCUGUCAGCAGGGAAGAACGGCCGUGUGGUUAAUACCCAUGCGGAUUGACGGUACCUGCAGAGGAAGCACCGGCUAACUCCGUGCCAGCAGCCGCGGUAAUACGGAGGGUGCGAGCGUUAAUCGGAAUUACUGGGCGUAAAGGGCGCGUAGGCGGCUGAUCAAGUCAGAUGUGAAAGCCCACGGCUUAACCGUGUGAAGUGCAUCUGAAACUGGUCGGCUUGAGUAUCGGAGAGGAAAGUGGAAUUCCCGGUGUAGAGGUGAAAUUCGUAGAUAUCGGGAGGAAUACCGGUGGCGAAGGCGACUUUCUGGACGAAUACUGACGCUGAGGCGCGAAAGCGUGGGGAGCAAACAGGAUUAGAUACCCUGGUAGUCCACAGCUGUAAACGAUGUGCACUAGAUGUGGGGAAGUGUUGACCUUUCCUGUGUCGCAGCUAACGCAUUAAGUGCACC
rnacentral:rRNA from 1 species